CCAAUAAAAAACAGUUAAUCGGACAUGUCAGACAGGCCUCCUGUGUUAGUUUCGUCCAGAGUCGAGCAUCUGACAAUGUGGGCUUCAUCCGAUAAAUUUUCCACUUGGGCUUUGUCUGUUUUUUAUAUGCGCGGUUGGCCACAUAAUAUAUGAAUCACCACAUUAUUUUAUGUCAACGUAAUUUAUGAAUCACAUUACCUUAUGGCAAUCUUAAUUUAUUGAGAAUACCUUUCCUCUUCCUUCAAAAUGUCGAUAGACCUUUGCCCUUUCUCUCACAACUCAAGACUUUUGCCAAGGUGAACAAAGAGAAUUCGAGAGACUUGCAAAGUUGCAAUGCGCCAGAGCGAUGGCGAUCGUCGCGUCGAAACGGAUUGGUUUCCCCUGCGGCCCCAUCCAUGUUCUCGCCGAUCAAUCAUUUCCAACUCUCGCUAUCAACUCUUUUACCGUCUCCGGCAACAGUGAGUGCUCCGAGGUAUCAGAUCAUUCCAUUAGGGACAGAUCUUAAUUGGCUUCUUUUGCUGACUGAUUUUCAAGAAAGUUUUUAUACAUGGCCACCGUGAAGCCUAGGAUCAUUGGAGAUAUAUGUAAAGAUCGAAUAGGAAGAAAUAUCAAGCACUUUCUGUCUCGGGUUUAGUGGACUAGGUGAUUGCGCCAAUUGACAUUCUUAAGAAAAUAAAUGAGAUAACCUUACACCAAAUCCCUAGGCUUCAAUCCAUGGCAGGUUCAUCGUGUUGGAGAGAUUCAUUCGUCUUGGUCGUGGAGCAUGUUUUUGUUCAUUUGCCGUUCACUAAGAAAUAAGUAGUCACUCCAACAGGAGCUGUGUAUACCGGAUUUGAUUUUUGCAAGAAACUUUGUGGGUUUCUCAAUGAUUCGAAGGAUUCCCUGCUUAAAGUUUUUGAAGUAUAUGUUUCACAGAAGAAAUCAACUUUCUUUUUCAGUGACAAUGUGAAAGUGGAAUGCUUCUCCGUCACCUAUUUCUUCUCUGAAAAACACAUCCCCUAGCUCUGCCUUCACGCAAACUUUGUCGUCUCCCGCCGUCCACAAUGCUUUCUUUCUCCUCAGUUUCUCUCAUUUUGAAGUUCAUAUGAUCACCUAGGUUAAGAUAGCUACAUUUCACUGUUUAGGAUAAGGUUGGAUGAUCUUUCUGAAGAUACUAAUGUCUAUCAUCGGAUCUAAAACUCAAAGAAACUUAACAUCUUUCUUGAUGCUCUUAACAGGGAAUCCUCUUUUCCCCGGGAAAAAUAUAGUCCAUCAAUUGGAUAUGAUGAAUGAUCUGUUGGGAACUCCAUUUGUGAAACUAUUGGAAGGGUGAGGAACGAGAAAGCUGGAAGAUACUUGAGGAGCAUGAGGUUGAAGAAGUCUAUUCGUUUUUCACAUAAGCUUCCACAUGACGAUCCUCUCGAUCUUCGUAUUCUACAAAAGUUGUUGUCUUUUGAGCUCAAUGAACGGCCUACAUUUGAAGAGGGGUUAGUCCUGACACUUGUGGAGUACUUCAAGGGUGUAGCUAAGAAAGAGACUAUAUAUGAGCUCUCAAAGAGAUCCCUCUGUUCAACCUGUCACCAAGCUGGAAUUCGAGUUUGAGAGGCUGAAGAUCACAAAAGAGGCCAUGCCAGAGCUCAUAUAUAGUAUCUUGAGACUGCUCUUGAGUACCACCCAAAGAUGCUAAAAGAAUACUUGGAUUUGUGGAAUAGAAGAUUUUGCUUCAUAUUAAGUUUUUUUUGUCAAAAUUAAUAUUAAUAUUAAGUUUUUUGCAGAAGAGAAAAACAAACGUACUACAGUGUUUCUAUUACCGGCACUACCCAACAAAAAACAUGCUCGAGUUGGUGGUCGGAAGAUGAAAGAUUUAGGUUUAUGAAGAAUAUGCUUUUUAAUGAAGAAUAUGUUUUCUGUUGCAACAUUUAGUUUACACCAAAAUAAACAAUAGCUUAUAAAAAUAACUAAAUACAUAAUUUUGUUUUUGGUAGUAGGCAAGUAGCUAGAAAGGAAGUCAGAGAAAUGGGACUAUGAGUUCAUGUCAAUAGGUUGUUGUGGUUAGAAGACCAUACUCAAUCGAAACUUUACAUGAUUUUGAAAUAAAUCAUUUCACUAAUUUUCUC